rnacentral:rRNA from 1 species
AUUCCAGCUCCAAUAGCGUAUACUAAAGUUGUUGCAGUUAAAAAGCUCGUAGUUGAAUUUCUGGUCGUGGCGACCGGUCCGCCCCUCACGGGGUGUGCACCUGGUCUCUGCGUCCAUCCUCGGGGAGAGCGCGUCUGGCAUUCAGUUGUCGGGCGCGGGAUCCUCGUCAUUUACUGUGAGCAAAAUAGAGUGUUCAAAGCAGGCUUAGGCCGUUGAAUACAUUAGCAUGGAAUAAUAAUUUAGGACUUUAGUUCUAUUUUGUUGGUUUCUAGAACUGAAGUAAUGAUUGAUAGGGAUAGUUGGGGGUGCUAGUAUUCAGCGGCCAGAGGUGAAAUUCUUGGAUUCGCUGAAGACUAACUUAUGCGAAAGCAUUCACCAAGGAUGUCUUCAUCG